AGCGAACGCUGGCGGCAGGCCUAACACAUGCCAGUCGAACGAACCUUUCGGGGUUAGUGGCGGACGGGUGAGUAACACAUGGGAACGUGCCUUUAGGUUCGGAAUAACUCAGGGAAACUUGUGCUAAUACCGAAUGUGCCCUUCGGGGGAAAGAUUUAUCGCCUUUAGAGCGGCCCGCGUCUGAUUAGCUAGUUGGUUGAGGUAAUGGCUCACCAAGGCGACGAUCAGUAGCUGGUCUGAGAGGAUGAUCAGCCACAUUGGGACUGAGACACGGCCCAAACUCCUACGGGAGGCAGCAGUGGGGAAUCUUGCGCAAUGGGCGAAAGCCUGACGCAGCCAUGCCGCGUGAAUGAUGAAGGUCUUAGGAUUGUAAAAUUCUUUCACCGGGGACGAUAAUGACGGUACCCGGAGAAGAAGCCCCGGCUAACUUCGUG
rnacentral:rRNA from 1 species